AACGAACGCUGGCGGCAUGCCUAACACAUGCAAGUCGAACGGGAGAAUCGGGUCUAGUGGCGCACGGGGGCGUAACGGGGGGGAACAUGCCCAUAGGUUCGGAAUAACUCCCGGAAAAAGGUGCUAAUACCGGCUAAAAUAUUCGGACCAACGGUUGAUCGACUUUGGGUGGGCCCGGGUUGGAUUGGCUAGUUGGUAGGGUAAACGGCUACAAAGGCUACGUUCCAUAGCUGGUCUGAGAGGAUGAUCCGCCACACUGGGACUGGGCCACGGCCCGGACUCCUACGGGAUGCAGCAGUGCGUAAUCUUGGCAUGCGGGCGAAAUCAUGAUCCAGCUCUGCUUCGUGAGUGCUGAAGGCUGUAGGGUUGUAAAGUUCGUUUAUCCGUGACUAUAUUGACGUUACCGGGAGAAUAAGCUCCGGCUAACUUCGUG
rnacentral:rRNA from 1 species